rnacentral:rRNA from 1 species
AACGAACGCUGGCGGCAUGCCUAACACAUGCAAGUCGAACGAGACCUUCGGGUCUAGUGGCGCACGGGUGCGUAACGCGUGGGAACCUGCCCUUAGGUUCGGAAUAACUCUCCGAAAGGGGUGCUAAUACCGGAUAAUUUCUUCGGACCAAAGAUUUAUCGCCUUUGGAUGGGCCCGCGUUGGAUUAGCUAGUUGGUAGGGUAAAAGCCUACCAAGGCGACGAUCCAUAGCUGGUCUGAGAGGAUGAUCAGCCACACUGGGACUGGGACACGGCCCAGACUCCUACGGGAGGCAGCAGUGGGGAAUAUUGGACCAUGGGCGAAAGCCUGAUCCAGCAAUGCCGCGUGAGUGAUGAAGGCCUUAGGGUUGUAAAGCUCUUUUAACCGGGAUGAUAAUGACAGUACCGGGAGAAUAAGCUCCGGCUAACUCCGUG